AUAUAAAUAAACUAAUUAAAGUUAUUAGGUUCAUACCCUAAAAAUAGAUUUAAAUAUCUUUUAUAUA
rnacentral:tRNA from 1 species